rnacentral:rRNA from 1 species
GACGAACGCUGGCGGCGUGCUUAACACAUGCAAGUCGAACGAUGAAGCCGGAGCUUGCUCUGGUGAAUUAGUGGCGAACGGGUGAGUAACACGUGAGUAACCUGCCCUUGACUCUGGGAUAACUGCUAGAAAUGGUAGCUAAUACCGGAUACGACCCUCGGCGGCAUCGCCAGGGGGUGGAAAGAAUUUCGGUCAAGGAUGGACUCGCGGCCUAUCAGCUAGGUGGUGAGGUAACGGCUCACCAAGGCGACGACGGGGAGCCGGCCUGAGAGGGUGACCGGGCACACUGGGACUGAGACACGGGCCAGACUCCUACGGGAGGCAGCAGUGGGGAAUAUUGCACAAUGGGCGCAAGCCUGAUGCAGCAACGCCGCGUGAGGGAUGACGGCCUUCGGGUUGUAAACCUCUUUUAGUAGGGAAGAAGCGAAAGUGACGGUACCUGCAGAAAAAGCACCGGCUAACUACGUGCCAGCCGCCGCCGUAA